rnacentral:rRNA from 1 species
CCUACGGGUUGCACCAGUGGGGAAUAUUGCACAAUGGGCGCAAGCCUGAUGCAGCCAUGCCGCGUGUAUGAAGAAGGCCUUCGGGUUGUAAAGUACUUUCAGCGAGGAGGAAGGCGUUAAGGUUAAUAACCUUAGCGAUUGACGUUACUCGCAGAAGAAGCACCGGCUAACUCCGUGCCAGCAGCCGCGGUAAUACGGAGGGUGCAAGCGUUAAUCGGAAUUACUGGGCGUAAAGCGCACGCAGGCGGUUUGUUAAGUCGGAUGUGAAAUCCCCGGGCUCAACCUGGGAACUGCAUUCGAAACUGGCAAGCUUGAGUCUUGUAGAGGGGGGUAGAAUUCCAGGUGUAGCGGUGGAAUGCGUAGAGAUCUGGAGGAAUACCGGUGGCGAAGGCGGCCCCCUGG